UACGUAGGGUGCAAGCGUUGUCCGGAAUUAUUGGGCGUAAAGAGCUCGUAGGCGGCACGGCAAGUCAGGAGUGAAAGCCCGAGGCUCAACCUCGGAACUGCCUUCGAUACUGCGGGUCUCGAGUCCGGGAGAGGUGAGUGGAAUUCCUAGUGUAGAGGUGAAAUUCGUAGAUAUUAGGAAGAACACCAGUGGCGAAGGCGGCUCACUGGCCCGGUACUGACGCUGAGGCGCGAAAGCGUGGGGAGCAAACAGG
rnacentral:rRNA from 1 species